GCACAACGCGAAGAACCUUACCAGAACUUGACAUCUCCUGCAUUACCCGUAACUGGGGAAGUCCUUCGGGACAGGAAGACAGGUGGUGCAUGGUUGUCGUCAGCUCGUGUCGUGGGAUGUUGGGUUAAGUCCCGCAACGAGCGCAACCCUUAUCAUUAGUUGCCAGCAGUAAGAUGGGCACUCUAGUGAGACUGCCGGAGACAAUUCGGAGGAAGGCGGGGAUGAUGUCAAAUCAUCAUGCCCCUUAUGUUCUGGGCUACACACGUGCUACAAUGGGCGCAACAACGGGAAGCAAGCUAGUGAUAGUGAGCAAAUCCCUAAAAAUCGCUCUCAGUUCAGACUGUAGGCUGAAACUCGCCUACACGAAGGCGGAGUUGCUAGUAAUCGCGGAUCAGCAUG
rnacentral:rRNA from 1 species